rnacentral:rRNA from 1 species
UAAUUAGUACUUCCUGCUCAAUGAAUUUUAAAUAGCCGCAAAUAACGUGCUAAGGUAGCAUAAUCAUUUGCCUUUUAAUUAAAGGCUAGAAUGAAAGGAUCAACGAGUUGAAUUCUUUAUUAUAACGAAUUAUUAAAAUUUUCAUUUAAGUAAAAAGACUUAAAUACCAAGAGAGGACGACAAGACCCUAUCGAACUUUAAUUAUCUUUUAAACUGGGGCGGUAAAAAACUAAAUCUUUUUAACUUAAAAAUAUAAUAAAACCCUAAAAAGGAUUCAAACCAAGUUACCGUAGGGAUAACAG